GACGAACGCUGGCGGCGUGCUUAACACAUGCAAGUCGAACGGAAAGGCCCUGCUUUUGUGGGGUGCUCGAGUGGCGAACGGGUGAGUAACACGUGAGUAACCUGCCCUUGACUUUGGGAUAACUUCAGGAAACUGGGGCUAAUACCGGAUAGGAGCUCCUGCUGCAUGGUGGGGGUUGGAAAGUUUCGGCGGUUGGGGAUGGACUCGCGGCUUAUCAGCUUGUUGGUGGGGUAGUGGCUUACCAAGGCUUUGACGGGUAGCCGGCCUGAGAGGGUGACCGGCCACAUUGGGACUGGGGUACGGCCCAGACUCCUACGGGCGGCAGCAGUGGGGAAUAUUGCACAAUGGGCGGAAGCCUGAUGCAGCAACGCCGCGUGCGGGAUGACGGCCUUCGGGUUGUAAACCGCUUUCGCCUGUGACGAAGCGUGAGUGACGGUAAUGGGUAAAGAAGCACCGGCUAACUACGU
rnacentral:rRNA from 1 species